GAUGAAGAACGCAGCGAAAUGCGAUACGUAAUGUGAAUUGCAGAAUUCAGUGAAUCAUCGAAUCUUUGAACGCAUAUUGCGCUCUCUGGUAUUCCGGAGAGCAUGCUUGUUUGAGUAUCAGUAAACACCUCAACUCCCUUUUCUUUUUUGAAAUUGGAGCUGGACUUGAGUGAUCCCAACGCUUUCUUCCAAGAAAGUGGCGGGUUGCUUGAAAUGCAGGUGCAGCUGAACUUUUCUCUGAGCUAUAAGCAUAUCUAUUUAGUCUGCCUAAAAAACAGAUUAUUACCUUUGCUGCAGCUAACAUAAAGGAGACUAGUUCUUGUGCUGACUGAUGCAGGAUUCACAGAGACAGCUUCGGCUGACUUUGUAAACUCGAUCUCAAAUCAAGUAAGACUACCCGCUGAACUUAAGCAUACCAAUAAGCGGAGGA
rnacentral:misc_RNA from 1 species